GAUGAACGCUGGCGGCGUGCCUAAUACAUGCAAGUCGAGCGAACGGACGAGAAGCUUGCUUCUCUGAUGUUAGCGGCGGACGGGUGAGUAACACGUGGAUAACCUACCUAUAAGACUGGGAUAACUUCGGGAAACCGGAGCUAAUACCGGAUCAUAUUUUGAACCGCAUGGUUCAAAAGUGAAAGACGGUCUUGCUGUCACUUAUAGAUGGAUCCGCGCUGCAUUAGCUAGUUGGUAAGGUAACGGCUUACCAAGGCAACGAUGCAUAGCCGACCUGAGAGGGUGAUCGGCCACACUGGAACUGAGACACGGUCCAGACUCCUACGGGAGGCAGCAGUAGGGAAUCUUCCGCAAUGGGCGAAAGCCUGACGGAGCAACACCGCGUGAGUGAUGAAGGUCUUCGGAUCGUAAAACUCUGUUAUUAGGGAAGAACAUAUGUGUAAGUAACUGUGCACAUCUUGACGGUACCUAAUCAGAAAGCCACGGCUAACUACGUG
rnacentral:rRNA from 1 species